GAUGAAGAACGUAGCGAAAUGCGAUACUUGGUGUGAAUUGCAGAAUCCCGUGAACCAUCGAGUCUUUGAACGCAAGUUGCGCCCGAAGCCAUCAGGUUGAGGGCACGUCUGCCUGGGCGUCACAUAUCGUUGCCCAAUGCCUAUUGCAGUGCAAUAGGAAUUUCUAGGGCGAAUGAUGGCUUCCCGUGAGCGUUGUUGCCUCGCGGUUGGUUGAAAAUCGAGUCUUUGGUAGGGUGUGCCAUGGUAGAUGGUGGUCGAGUUAGAACGAUACCGAUCAUGUGCAUGCUCCCCAAAAUAUGGCCUCUAUGACCCACACGCGUCUUUUGACGCUCAUGACGAGACCUCAGGUCAGGCGGGGCUACCCGCUGAAUUUAAGCAUAUCAAUAAGCGGAGGA
rnacentral:misc_RNA from 1 species